rnacentral:lncRNA from 1 species
GUUGAUCUGCCUACCUCAUGUAACUUAAAGUAGUCUUAUAUUACUGUUAUGUAUUCUAUGAGUCUGAUAAGAUGCAAAAUGAAUUUGUCUCCGAUGAAGUUGAGGCAUAUUUUCACUGGGACUAACAGAGAAGUCAUCAUGAUUCCACACACAGUAUUCCCUUGACUGGUAACAGAGUUGGAAACUGAAGGUUCUGGUCUAAGCACUUUAAGUAUGACUUCAUUUAGUAUUUACAGCACCUCUAGGAAGAGUUCACAACUGAGAAGGAAGAAGAAAGACACCAAAUAACACCAAACCAGAUGUGCUCUGAGAAGUGCUAGUCUACAGAAACAGCAGAAGAGGGGUGAAAGCCAAGUGGGGCAUCUGAAAAACCUUGUGGGACAGUUGAGAUAUGAGAUUUAGGAUGUUGUGGCUAGAAAUAUGGGAACAGGGCAUACAGAGGAGAAGCAGAUGAGUGAUGCCAGCCAAACUAUGUGCGGUCUAGGGAGAAGGAAGAGGUCAGCUGGACCCUGAGAAGCUGGAGCAUGGAUUGUGGCAUUGUCAAUUGGGUCAAAGAGAUAACCUAGGAAUAGAGUGGAGAAACUCAUGUCCUUAUCUAAUGAAGCUGUAUUUUUCCCAAAUACCAGAAAAGAAUGAAACAUAAAAGCAUGUGAUUCCUUCUAAUCAUCUAACUCUUUCCUGAAAGCGAGGAAUAGCUAAACAAAAGCAAUAACAAUAACAAGAACAAUAUAGUCCUUCCUUCACGGAUUCCACACACAUUUUCAGUGGAAAAACUGAUUCCUAGUAAGUGAUGCAAUGGACCAAGAGUCAGUAGAACCAAGGUCUAGCUGUGGUAACUUAAAUUGUUCACAACAUAACUUUGGGUCAAUCUGGGUAACAGUUUCCUUAGCAAUAAUGCCAGUCAGCUGGAUUUGCAGAAAGAGCCUGCUGAAUCCCACCAUUUCUAUGGCGUUGUCUCAGAGAAGGUAAGAAAAAGCACAGCCCUCCCUCCACCCGCUCAGUAUAUUUGGGCUUCUGCAUGCACUUUCACUUGAAGAAAAUGUGCUAAACUUUACAAACCAUUUGAGAAACACCUGACUACAUCAUCUCUAACAUUCCUUUAGCUGUUACAUGCUAUAAAUCCAUGCUAUUUCUUUUGUUCAUAUAACUUAAAAGUGCAUUUCUCAUUAACACCCAAAUAUGCACCAUAUAUAUAUUCAUGUGCCAUUGUGAAUGCAUUUGAUAAGGCCUAACAUGGGAUCCAGUUUUGUUUCUUCAUCUAACAGGCUUUUGGAUAUGUUUUCUCAUAUUUGCUAAUGGACAUAUAGGUAGGCAAACGAACACUCUAAAUGCAGAGCAUGAUUUGUGGUAUAAAAUAAUAGAAACCAAGUAAAAUUUUCCAUGGCAAAUGAGUUUUUGACUUAGUCAUUGUCCCAGCAGUUCUUGGUGUCCUGAAAAAUGCAGGAGAUUAACCAGACUGCUGGAUGCCAAAUUUGCCAAAUCUCCUGUCUUGCUCCAUUAAUCCCUCAGUGACUCAGAGAAUGUAGUUCUUAGCAAGUUGCCUAGUCAGUAAAAUGGCCAGCAUACAAUGAUAUGUAAGCAUUAACUAACAAGGAUGAAUGAUUCUUCUUGACUUCCUGAGCAAGUGACUUGGGCAAGGCCUAAGGGAGAGUUAACACUAAGGCCAGCCUUAGGCCUGACAUGAAUGGUUGGGUUCCCAAAUUCCAGAGGAUAGAUUGGUUCCAGUCAAAUAAGAGAGGUAAAGAUCUAUUUUGUGCAAGAGUAAGCCAUAUUCAAAAUUGAAAAUCUAAAGAUGAAUUUUGGAAUUUCCCCCGCUACAUGACCCUUAACUCCCCACAGCUCUGCUUCCCAGCACCCAGUGCCUUGUGCCUUUGGCCGGCUCUCAGAUCCCG